rnacentral:rRNA from 1 species
AUUGAACGCUGGCGGCAGGCCUAACACAUGCAAGUCGAGCGGAUGAAGGGAGCUUGCUCCUGGAUUCAGCGGCGGACGGGUGAGUAAUGCCUAGGAAUCUGCCUGGUAGUGGGGGAUAACGUCCGGAAACGGGCGCUAAUACCGCAUACGUCCUGAGGGAGAAAGUGGGGGAUCUUCGGACCUCACGCUAUCAGAUGAGCCUAGGUCGGAUUAGCUAGUCGGUGGGGUAAAGGCCUACCAAGGCGACGAUCCGUAACUGGUCUGAGAGGAUGACCAGUCACACUGGAACUGAGACACGGUCCAGACUCCUACGGGAGGCAGCAGUGGGGAAUAUUGGACAAUGGGCGAAAGCCUGAUCCAGCCAUGCCGCGUGUGUGAAGAAGGUCUUCGGAUUGUAAAGCACUUUAAGUUGGGAGGAAGGGCAGUAAGUUAAUACCUUGCUGUUUUGACGUUACCAACAGAAUAAGCACCGGCUAACUUCGUG